UGAGGAAUAUUGGUCAAUGGUCGAGAGACUGAACCAGCCAAGUCGCGUGAAGGAUGACUGCCCUAUGGGUUGUAAACUUCUUUUACAAGGGAAUAAAAUGAGAUACGUGUAUUUUAUUGCAUGUACCUUGUGAAUAAGCAUCGGCUAACUCCGUGCCAGCAGCCGCGGUAAUACGGAGGAUGCGAGCGUUAUCCGGAGUUAUUGGGUUUAAAGGGUGCGUAGGUGGGCUGUUAAGUCAGCGGUGAAAGUUUGUCGCUUAACGAUAAAAUUGCCGUUGAAACUGGUAGUCUUGCGUAUAGAUGAAGUAGGCGGAAUGCGUGGUGUAGCGGUGAAAUGCAUAGAGAUCAUGAAGAACUCCGAUUGCGAAAGCAGCUUACUAAGGAAUAUAUGACUCUGAAGCACGAAAGCGUGGGUAUCAAACAGG
rnacentral:rRNA from 1 species